UACGUAGGUGGCGAGCGUUGUUCGGAUUUAUUGGGCGUAAAGGGUCCGUAGGAGGUUUGUCAAGAGUGGGGUGAAAUCCCGGAGCUCAACUCCGGAACUGCCUUGCUGACUGAUGGACUAGAGUACUGGAGAGGUAAGCGGAAUACCAGGUGUAGCGGUGGAAUGCGUAGAUAUCUGGUAGAACACCGAGAGCGAAGGCAGCUUACUGGACAGCCACUGACUCUCAUGGACGAAAGCGUGGGGAG
rnacentral:rRNA from 1 species